AAAAGAUGCUAGACUAUUUUUGCGAUGUGUUCCUAAUAUGUUAUAUGAAUGUAUUGGGGACAUCUUGCAUUCCUAGUUUUGUAUCAAUAAU
rnacentral:pre_miRNA from 10 species